AGUGAGGAUAUCAGAAAAAAUAAUGCUGACAUGAGUAAGAAUUAACAAGGAUUGAAACCUUGUGGCCGAAAUUCUAAGGUUUUCGAAGGAAGGUUUAACUACUUCGAUGCGCGCUAUUUUGCGCGCACUAUAAAACGGUCCCUAAAAUAAUUAUGUGAAAGCAUUUAUUGAUGGGUUGAAUAUUCUCUUGC
rnacentral:rRNA from 12 species